rnacentral:rRNA from 1 species
CUUGAGUUAAUAUAAGAGGUCCAGCCUGCCCAGUGACUUUGUUCAACGGCCGCGGUAUCCUAACCGUGCGAAGGUAGCGUAAUCACUUGUCUUUUAAAUGGGGACUUGUAUGAAUGGCAUCACGAGGGUUAUACUGUCUCCUUUUUCUAAUCAGUGAAACUAAUCUUCCCGUGAAGAAGCGGGAAUAAACAUAUAAGACGAGAAGACCCUAUGGAGCUUUAAACCCAAUAAUAAAUACUAGCCUUGUUAUAACUUUCAGAACAUUAACCUUAAUCUUAGUAUUAUAUUUAUUAGUUUUAGGUUGGGGUGACCGCGGAGUAAAAAUUAACCUCCACAUUGAACAGGACCUGUCCUUGAGCCAAGAGCUACAACCCUAAGCACCAAAAAAUUGACAUCAAUUGACCCAAUAUUUUGAUCAACGAAC